rnacentral:rRNA from 1 species
CCUACGGGAGGCAGCAGUGAGGAAUAUUGGUCAAUGGACGAAAGGCUGAACCAGCCAAGUCGCGUGAAGGAUGACGGAUCUAUGGUUUGUAAACUUCUUUUAUAUGGGAAUAAAGGUAGCCACGUGUGGCUAUUUGCAUGUACCCUAUGAAUAAGCAUCGGCUAACUCCGUGCCAGCAGCCGCGGUAAUACGGAGGAUGCGAGCGUUAUCCGGAUUUAUUGGGUUUAAAGGGUGCGUAGGUUGGUUUUUAAGUCAGCGGUGAAAGUUUGUGGCUCAACCAUAAAAUUGCCGUUGAAACUGGAAGACUUGAGUGUGGUUGAGGUAGGCGGAAUGCGUGGUGUAGCGGUGAAAUGCAUAGAUAUCACGAAGAACUCCGAUUGCGAAGGCAGCUUACUAGGCCAUAACUGACACUGAUGCACGAAAGCGUGGGGAUCAAACAGGAUUAGAUACCCCUGUAGUC